GCGAGCGUGCUGGAACUGGUAGACAGUGCAGGCUUAGGACCUGCUGAGCGAAAGCUCGUGGGGGUUCGAGUCCCCCCGCUCGCA
rnacentral:tRNA from 1 species